UGGUGGAGUGAUUUGUCUGCUUAAUUGCGAUAACGAACGAGACCUUAACCUGCUAAAUAGCCAGGCCCGCCUUGGCGGGUCGCCGGCUUCUUAGAGGGACUAUCGGCUCAAGCCGAUGGAAGUUUGAGGCAAUAACA
rnacentral:rRNA from 1 species